AGAGUUUGAUUCUGGCUCAGGACGAACGCUGGCGGCGUGCUUAACACAUGCAAGUCGAACGGGGAAUUCUGCUUCGGUGGAAUUCCUAGUGGCGAACGGGUGAGUAACGCGUAGGCAACCUGCCCUUCAGACGGGGACAACAUCCCGAAAGGGGUGCUAAUACCGGAUACGAAGCUCCUGCCGCAUGACGGGAGCUUGAAAGGCGCAAACAAGCGCCGCUGAGGGAUGGGCCUGCGUCCGAUUAGCUUGUUGGUGGGGUAACGGCCCACCAAGGCGACGAUCGGUAGCCGGUCUGAGAGGAUGAACGGCCACAUUGGGACUGAGACACGGCCCAG
rnacentral:rRNA from 1 species